rnacentral:tRNA from 1 species
ACGCUGGUGGUUCAGUGGUAGAAUUCUCGCCUGCCACGCGGGAGACCGGGGUUCGAUUCCCCGCUAGCGCA